rnacentral:rRNA from 1 species
GAUGAACGCUGGCGGCGUGCCUAAUACAUGCAAGUCGAGCGAACAGAUGAGGAGCUUGCUCCUCUGACGUUAGCGGCGGACGGGUGAGUAACACGUGGAUAACCUACCUAUAAGACUGGGAUAACUUCGGGAAACCGGAGCUAAUACCGGAUAAUAUAUUGAACCGCAUGGUUCAAUAGUGAAAGACGGUUUUGCUGUCACUUAUCGAUGGAUCCGCGCCGCAUUAGCUAGUUGGUAAGGUAACGGCUUACCAAGGCAACGAUGCGUAGCCGACCUGAAAGGGUGAUCGGCCACACUGGAACUGAGACACGGUCCAGACUCCUACGGGAGGCAGCAGUAGGGAAUCGUCCGCAGUGGGCGAAAGCCUGACGGAGCAACGCCGCGUGAGUGAUGAAGGUCUUCGGAUCGUAAAACUCUGUUAUUAGGGAAGAACAAAUGUGUAAGUAACUAUGCACGUCUUGACGGUACCUAAUCAGAAAGCCACGGCUAACUACGUG